UGGGGGAUAUUGCACAAUGGGCGAAAGCCUGAUGCAGCGACGCCGCGUGGGGGAUGAAGGCUUUCGGGUUGUAAACCUCUUUCGCUAUCGAACAAGGCCCGCUUAGGGUGGGUUGAGGGUAGGUGGAGAAGAAGCGCCGGCUAACUACGUGCCAGCAGCCGCGGUAAUACGUAGGGCUCGAGGGUUGUCCGGAAGUAUUGGGCGUAAAGGGCUUGUAGGCGGCUUGUUGCGCCUGCUGUGAAAACGCGGGGCUUAACUUCGGGCGUGCAGUGGGUACGGUGAGGGUUGAGUGUGGGAGGGGUGACUGGAAUUCCAGGUGUAGCGGUGGAAUGCGCAGAUAUCUGGAGGAGCACCGAUGGCGAAGGCAGGUCACUGGGCCAUUACUGACGCUGAGGAGCGAAAGCAUGGGUAGCGAACAGG
rnacentral:rRNA from 1 species